UGGGGAAUCUUGCACAAUGGGCGAAAGCCUGAUGCAGCAACGCCGCGUGCGGGAAGACGGCCCUAGGGUUGUAAACCGCUUUCAGCAGGGAAGAAACUGACGGUACCUGCAGAAGAAGAUGCGGCCAACUACGUGCCAGCAGCCGCGGUGACACGUAGGCAUCAAGCGUUAUCCGGAUUUAUUGGGCGUAAAGAGCUCGUAGGCGGUUCGGUAAGUCGGGUGUGAAAACUCUGGGCUCAACCCAGAGACGCCACCCGAUACUGCUGUGACUAGAGUGCGGUAGGGGAGUGGGGAACUCCUGGUGUAGCGGUGAAAUGCGCAGAUAUCAGGAAGAACACCAGUGGCGAAGGCGCCACUCUGGGCCAUUACUGACGCUCAUGGACGAAAGCCAGGGGAGCGAAAGGG
rnacentral:rRNA from 1 species